AGAGGCAAGGAAAGGGAGUCUUCAGGGCGGGAGACACCCGUGCAGUGGGGAGCCUCGCGGCACAAGGACAGAAAAAAAUCGCAGAAGAUGUGGCUGAAUCCAUGGAGGAAAGAAGGACCUGAACCAGAACAGCUCAGAAAAGCUGAAUUACGAAGCAGGUGUUGAACUUGCAACCUCAAACUUGCCAGGCAGGCGCUGUGCUGCUGAGCUACGUCCCCGGCUCUAACAGUUGACUCUGAUGCACCUUUGUUAGCCAUUGCUACACUUGACCUCUGCAUGUGGUGUUCUAGAAGAAGCGCCAAGAUGUGGUGUGUGAAUUAGAGUUCAUCCACACCUAAGGAGCUUGCACACAGACUGUACUUUCCAGAUACCAUCUCAGGGGCCGAGGGUUAUACAGCUCAGCGGUAUGGUGCUUACCGAGUGUGGGAGAAGCUUUGGGUGUGGAUCUCCAGCAUGGCAAAAAGACACUGUCUCAGAGUUUGGAACCAUACCGUUGCUUUCUAGUGGCCUGAAACUCUGGAAACCACCUGGUGACCCGGCCUGCUGGGACUUUGCCUGGUCCACCCAGCCCAGCUUUCUGCUCAAGUUCCGGUGUAAAAAGUAGGGCUUCAAAUGCACAACAUAAGCUCUUCCUUGAAAACGCCACAUUUUGAAAAUGUCCCUGUCUGGUUCGUUUUCUAUAGCCAUUGCAAUAAACUGCCAGAAACUUGGUAGGUUGAAACAA